GGCAUUGACAUUACGGCGGUUUUAAAGAACCGCCGUAAUACCCGGUUAUUAUGGCAUUUUUGGUUGCUGCCAUAAUUAACUUUGUGUUUGCUGGCGGUUCUGGGUGAUUAUGGCGGUUUUGAACCGCCGUUUUCACACAUAUAUAAAACAAAAGAAUUGCAACCCUAGCCUUAAACGAAACACAGUAUAACGGUGCUCUCGAUCUUUCUUCUCUCUCCAUUCGCUCUCGAUCUCUGACAACGCCGUUCUUCCCUCUCGGCUUCUCCUCUCUCCACCGGUUACGAUUUCUCUAGCUCCGCGAUCGGAGCUUGUGUUGAAGUAUUCCAUUGACGUUGGUGUGGGGGUGAUUGACGCCGAUUGGGUCUUGUGUUCAACUAGUCGACGAUAUCAGAUCUUGGAUUGACGGUUGUGAGUUAGAGUUUUAGAGACAAAUGAAGUGCUUGAAGAGUUCCCCUCCUUCUUGGCUCUUAUAUCAUUGCAGCUGAAAACCAUAAUCCAGGAAAAGGCAAGAGAGUUAAUGAUAUUUUGUAAUGUUUCAAGUACUACUAGUGUUGUAAUAAUUUCUUCUUCGUUGUUUCUGCUAUGAUGUUCUAAAUAUGUACUAGUCUGGUACUGAAAUGAUUGUUUUU